rnacentral:rRNA from 1 species
AACGAACGCUGGCGGCAUGCCUAACACUUGCAAGUCGAACGAGACCUUCGGGUCUAGUGGCGCACGGGUGCGUAACGCGUGGGAACCUGCCCUUAGGUUCGGAAUAACUCCCCGAAAGGGGUGCUAAUACCGGAUAAUGUCUUCGGACCAAAGAUUUAUCGCCUUUGGAUGGGCCCGCGUUGGAUUAGCUAGUUGGUAGGGUAGAAGCCUACCAAGGCGACGAUCCAUAGCUGGUCUGAGAGGAUGAUCAGCCACACUGGGACUGAGACACGGCCCAGACUCCUACGGGAGGCAGCAGUGGGGAAUAUUGGACAAUGGGCGAAAGCCUGAUCCAGCAAUGCCGCGUGAGUGAUGAAGGCCUUAGGGUUGUAAAGCUCUUUUACCCGGGAUGAUAAUGACAGUACCGGGAGAAUAAGCUCCGGCUAACUCCGUG